GAAGUACGAAAUCUUCCCGCCUUGGAAAGCGUCGGUCAACAAAAAUGGAAAAGGUUAAAAGUGUUUUAUUGUGUUUGGUAUCUUUGGUAUAUUGUGAUGUACUUGACAUAAAGAAUGUGUGCAAGUUGGAACAAAAUUUAAAUUUUAUUCCUAAGGGUUAUUCGUGCACAUUUGUUGGAGGGAACGUGUAUGUUUACCAAGGCAAGCCCUCGAUUGGAACAAUAUAUUUUGAUACAUUUAAUGCCGAUUCUACAUUGAUUAUUUUGGGAGUUAAAACAGUUGUGAUAAAGCGUGGUUCUAUGGAUACAUGUCAUCAACUUGUGACUAGAAAUCCUGAAGCUAGUAUCAACAUAUACGGACAAAAUUGUGAAUAUGUAACUACAACUCAAUCGAUACUCAGUACGAUUAGAUCGGAAGAGUCAGAAGAACAGUAUCAUGAGUACACCUGGAUGUAUUCAACAGUGAGUCUUAUCAUAGUUGUCGUCAUUGUCUUACUAGUUUGUUGUGGGAGAUACGUGUCAAAGAAAAGGCACAGAUCUAGAAACAAAAACAGGAAUGAUAUUGAGAUGUCCUCUGACAUAAUGUUUGAAGUUCCAAGAAAUCCACCACAAAUUUUGAAAUCGGAUUAGCUAUUUUAAUAAUAUAAAUGUAAUAUGUGUGAGCAGAAGUCUAUUAUGGAUUACUAAAGUAAAAAAAUCAUUGAUUACAGGUGGCCAUUGGCAGUAUAUUAUUUUGUUGGCUCUACCUAUAGUGCAAAGACGAUUUCCCUUCAUGUUUGAUGUGGUUUUCUUCAACAAUG